ACUAAGAUCAGUUCUUAUCUCUAUGAUAAGUUCAUAGAGGUGAACAUAAGUUCACCUGUAACAAUCAAGAAAUAAUUGAUCGAGCUCCCUUUUGAGGGAAAUAUGCUAGAAAAGCCUUUUGGAAACUGGUACAAUCAUGCAGGCUACAGUGGCAACCUGGAUCUUAAUUUGUUAACAACCACCAGUCACCGGGGGAAAAAACAUAACGAUAAAGUAGCUAAUAAGUAAGAAAACUCAUGUUUCAUGCCAAGCAGUUAGUUAUGUGGGAAACUAAUAGGAGGUUGACCUGUAUCAUCGCCAACAUUGCUGGGGAAGUGAAGGGAUGAGGGAGUAUCUGAUGUUGCAUUUAUUGAUUUAUAUUUCAUGUUGUUAGGUGGCAAAGACUCUGGCCCAUUGUUUUCACCAGUUCCAAGGUAGGGGGGUCCCUCUCACGGUGGAUCUGCUGCAGGAUGGCAUCUUCGUCCCACUGUUCCAAACACUCUGAAUGGCCACACGGGAUGCAGGGACAGGCCGAGAGAAGACUCACUGUGAUGAGAUGGGCUACAGGAAGAGUUUCUAGUAGACAGGACUUUUCUGAUCUGUAAGAGAAAAGAGUUACUAAAUUAACAGACUGAAAGCAGAGGAUCAAGAGUAAAUUCAGAAGAAAAGAAAAGCUUCCUCUCUGUUGAUCCGCGUGUGUGUGUGUGUGUGUGUGUGUAUGUGUGCGCGUGCGCACCCGUGUGCAUGCACGCGCAUUUUAACUCUGGUCUGCAGGAGAGACAAAAAAGACAUGCAUCUUGUUUGUUGCUGCUGCUGGAACCCAGAGAGCUGACUCUGUGCUGUCUUUGGAACAUUCACCCUCCUGAACUGCCGUGAAGCUGAUUCUGAUGGGGUUGGAGAAAGAUAAGAUUAUAAAAGCAUUGUCUUAAACUCAACUUUGGAAGUUCUCUCUCACUGCUUUCCCAAUCUUUCAUGUCAUAAAGAGCUAUUUCAAACUUUG